rnacentral:rRNA from 1 species
UACGUAGGGUGCAAGCGUUAAUCGGAAUUACUGGGCGUAAAGCGUGCGCAGGCGGUCUGUUAAGACCGAUGUGAAAUCCCCGGGCUUAACCUGGGAACUGCAUUGGUGACUGGCAGGCUUUGAGUGUGGCAGAGGGAGGUAGAAUUCCACGUGUAGCAGUGAAAUGCGUAGAGAUGUGGAGGAAUACCGAUGGCGAAGGCAGCCCCCUGGGAUGAUACUGACGCUCAUGCACGAAAGCGUGGGGAGCAAACAGG